CACGUAGGAGGCGAGCGUUGUCCGGAAUCAUUGGGCGUAAAGAGCGCGCAGGCGGCUUGGCAAGUCGGGUGUGAAAUCCCGGGGCUCAACCCCGUGACUGCAUCCGAUACUGUCAGGCUAGAGGUAGGUAGGGGAGAUCGGAAUUCCUGGUGUAGCGGUGAAAUGCGCAGAUAUCAGGAGGAACACCGGUGGCGAAGGCGGGUCUCUGGGCAGUAACUGACGCUGAGGAGCGAAGGCGUGGGGAGCGAACAGG
rnacentral:rRNA from 1 species